AAUUAGUGACGCGCAUGAAUGGAU
rnacentral:ncRNA from 11 species